GGGGAAUAUUGCACAAUGGGCGAAAGCCUGAUGCAGCAACGCCGCGUGAGCGAUGAAGGCCUUCGGGUCGUAAAGCUCUGUCCUCAAGGAAGAUAAUGACGGUACUUGAGGAGGAAGCCCCGGCUAACUAUGUGCCAGCAGCCGCGGUAAUACGUAGGGGGCUAGCGUUAUCCGGAAUUACUGGGCGUAAAGGGUGCGUAGGUGGUUUCUUAAGUCAGAGGUGAAAGGCUACGGCUCAACCGUAGUAAGCCUUUGAAACUGAGAAACUUGAGUGCAGGAGAGGAGAGUAGAAUUCCUAGUGUAGCGGUGAAAUGCGUAGAUAUUAGGAGGAAUACCAGUUGCGAAGGCGGCUCUCUGGACUGUAACUGACACUGCGGCACGAAAGCGUGGGGAGCAAAC
rnacentral:rRNA from 1 species